AGGAUCAUUAUCGAAAGUGAAUCCGGAGGGAGAAGGAAAGGGGGGUUAGAGAUUGUCGCUGGCCUGCGGAAACGGAAGGCAUGUGCACGUCUCGAUCUCUUUUUUUUUUUCCCCCUUCGCGAGCCUUUUCUUCAUACACCCGUGCACCCGUGGUAGGUCCCGCGAGGGAUCUAUGUUUCCAUCUACUCUUUUAAUGUAUGGCCGGAACGUAGUCGGAGCGGCCGUGGGCUCGACAAUGGGCCUUCGUCCGGACGACGGUAAAUAACGAUAAUACAACUUUCAGCAACGGAUCUCUUGGCUCUCGCAUCGAUGAAGAACGCAGCGAAUUGCGAUAUGUAAUGUGAAUUGCAGAUUUUCAGUGAAUCAUCGAAUCUUUGAACGCACCUUGCGCUCCUUGGUAUUCCGAGGAGCAUGCCUGUUCGAGUGUCAUGUAAUUCUCAACCGUUCCCCGAUCGAUUUCGAGGGGGGGAUGGCUUGGAUUUUUGGGGGUUGCCGGCGAAGGUCGGCUCUCCUUAAAAGCAUUAGCGAAAGGUGGCAAGCCUCUGCAUGCAACGGCCUUGGACGUGAUAACGAUCGUCGUGGCUGGAAUGCGAGGCCGUAGAUCCGUCUUUGCUUCUAAUCGAUGACCCCCCUCCAUCUUCGAAAACUUGACCUCGAAUCAGGUAGGACUACCCGCUGAACUUAAGCAUAUCAAUAAGCGGAGGAAAAGAAACUAACAAGGAUUCCCCUAGUAACUGCGAGUGAAGCGGGAAGAGCUCAAAUUUGGAAUCUGGCGGUCUUUCGGCCGUCCGAG
rnacentral:rRNA from 1 species